rnacentral:rRNA from 1 species
AUGGCUCAGGAUGAACGCUGGCGGCGUGCCUAACACAUGCAAGUCGAGCGGAGAUAAGUUGAAGCCUAGCGAUUCUUAUCUUAGCGGCGGAUGGGUGAGUAACACGUGGGUAACCUGCCCUGUACUGGGGAAUAACAGCUGGAAACGGCUGUUAAUGCCGCAUAUGCGCACGGAGCCGCAUGGCCCUGGGCGGAAAGAUUUAUCGGUACAGGAUGGGCCCGCGCCGGAUUAACUAGUUGGCGGGGUAACGGCCCACCAAGGUGAUGAUCCGUAGCCGACCUGAGAGGGUGACCGGCCACAUUGGGACUGAGACACGGCCCAAACUCCUACGGGAGGCAGCAGUGGGGGAUAUUGCACAAUGGGGGAAACCCUGAUGCAGCGACGCCGCGUGAAGGAUGACGUAUUUCGGUAUGUAAACUUCUAUCAGCGGGGAAGAAGAUGACGGUACCCGACUAAGAAGCCCCGGCUAACUACGUGCCAGCCGCUGC